rnacentral:lncRNA from 1 species
GUUUUCUCUCCCCAGCACCUAUGAGCUCAGCCCCCAGCCCAAGCCGAGCCCAGGUGUGUGCUCAAGAAAUUGUCUAAACAGGUCCUGAGCCUCCAUCUGGCACCCUGAGGAAGCACCACCACCAGCCAGUGUGGCCAAGGGGAGCCCAGGACUCUAGGUUCCAGCCUGUGCUGGAGCCCCCCCAGCCCCCAGGCCACCCUGGCCCUUUCUCCUCUCUUGCCAGGCUCUUCUCCCCAGGCUGCCCAGCCCAGCUCCCCACGCCCUGCUGCAGCUCCCCACGGUAGCCUCACUCCUGCCUGCUUUUUAUAAAAUGGGCUUUGGGGAACAGUUUUAUUUGUUGUAUUUGUUUUGUCUUUUUAGGGCCGCACCUGCGGCAUAUGGAGGUUCCCAGGCUAGGGGCUGAAUCACAGCCACAGCCAAGCCAGAUCUGAGCUGGAACAGUUUUAUUUGAAUAAAAAGGUUUCAGCUACUAAAAAAUUAGAAUUUAAACAUUGGUAACAAGACCUGGGAAUACAGUCCAAAUUGCUUAAUCACAGGAACCGGUUCUUGGACCCUUUCUGCACGCUGGGCGCUUGCAUACAUUAAUCUCCACAGCCUCGAGAGGUAUCUGACAGAAACCUGUUUGGGGGAAGAGGCGGCAUGUUCAGCCGCCUGCUCUGGUCCCUCUGUGGAGGCCCAGCUCAGAGGCUCCUUCCCUGGCUGAGGUUUCUGCCCCCUUCCUCUACCUGCCCAGCUCCGUGGGCCUCUCCCACAGCCGCCUUAUCUCAUUCACUGCAGGGUUCAGAGCUCUGCGAGCUUAUCUUAUCCUUGUGCUGGUCCCAGACUCCUUGAGGGCAAAGUCCAGGACUCAUUCAUCCUCCUCGUCUGGGCAGCCCCAACACACAGCCCGAUCCUGUGACUUCAGAUGGUUUGAGUGUGGAAAGAGCACAGCAUUCGGAUUCCAGAGAUCUGGCUUUUCAUUCAACCUGCACGACUUCAGGCCAGUCAUGCCGCACACCCAGGCCUCAGGCUUCUUCUGAGUUGGAGAGCAGAGGUCCCAAGCAGCUCUGACACUGUCACCUCCAAGCUGGACACCUGCAGAGGCCUCUGGAUCCCAGCGGCCCCUCCCAGAGCCUUAGCCCCAGGGCUGUGUCCACUGCUUAUGCCUCUUCAGGAGAGUGGCCUGGGGGUGCUGAGAGAGAGGGGGGGUGAAGACCCCCUUCCAGCUGACACUGGAGCCCCGGUCUGCAAAGGAAUGGACUUCUUUGGUUCUUUACCUUGGUUUUGGUUUUGUUUUUUUGUCUUUUUAGGGUCGCACCUGCCGCACAUGGGAGUUUCCAGGCUAGGGGUCCAAUCGGAGUUACAGCUGCCGACCUACACCCCAGCCACAGCCACGCCAGAUCCGAGUCGUGUCUGCGACCUACACCACAGCUCACGGCAACGCCGGGUCCUUUAACCCACUGAGCGUGGCCAGGGCUCGAACCCGCAACCUCACGGUUCCUAGUCGGAUUCGUUUCUGCUGUGCCACGAUGGGAACUCCCCCUUUACCUUAUUUUGCCAAAACUGAUC